rnacentral:tRNA from 1 species
GCCUGGGUGGCUCAGUCUGUUAGGCAUCUGACUUUAGCUUAGGUCAUAAUCUCACAGUUCAUGGGUUCGAACCCCGUGUCAGGCU